UUAAGUUAUUAAGGGCGCACGGUGGAUGCCUUGGCACUAGAAGCCGAUGAAGGACGUUACUAACGACGAUAUGCUUUGGGUAGCUGUAAGUAAGCGUUGAUCCAGAGAUUUCCGAAUGGGGGAACCCAGCAUGAGUUAUGUCAUGUUAUCGACAUGUGAAUUCAUAGCAUGUCAGAAGGCAGACCCGGAGAACUGAAACAUCUUAGUACCCGGAGGAAGAGAAAGAAAAAUCGAUUCCCUGAGUAGCGGCGAGCGAAACGGGAAGAGCCCAAACCAACAAGCUUGCUUGUUGGGGUUGUAGGACACUCUAUACGGAGUUACAAAAGAACAUGUUAGACGAAUCAUCUGGAAAGAUGAAUCAAAGAAGGUAAUAAUCCUGUAGUCGAAAACAUAUUCUCUCUUGAGUGGAUCCUGAGUACGACGGAGCACGUGAAAUUCCGUCGGAAUCUGGGAGGACCAUCUCCUAAGGCUAAAUACUCUCUAGUGACCGAUAGUGAACCAGUACCGUGAGGGAAAGGUGAAAAGUACCCCGGAAGGGGAGUGAAAGAGAACUUGAAACCGUGUGCUUACAAGUAGUCAGAGCCCGUUAAUGGGUGAUGGCGUGCCUUUUGUAGAAUGAACCGGCGAGUUACGAUCUGAUGCAAGGUUAAGCAGCAAAUGUGGAGCCGCAGCGAAAGCGAGUCUGAAUAGGGCGUUGAGUAUUUGGUCGUAGACCCGAAACCAGGUGAUCUACCCUUGGUCAGGUUGAAGUUCAGGUAACACUGAAUGGAGGACCGAACCGACUUACGUUGAAAAGUGAGCGGAUGAACUGAGGGUAGCGGAGAAAUUCCAAUCGAACUUGGAGAUAGCUGGUUCUCUCCGAAAUAGCUUUAGGGCUAGCCUCAAGUGAUGAUUAUUGGAGGUAGAGCACUGUUUGGACGAGGGGCCCCUCUCGGGUUACCGAAUUCAGACAAACUCCGAAUGCCAAUUAAUUUAACUUGGGAGUCAGAACAUGGGUGAUAAGGUCCGUGUUCGAAAGGGAAACAGCCCAGACCACCAGCUAAGGUCCCAAAAUAUAUGUUAAGUGGAAAAGGAUGUGGCGUUGCCCAGACAACUAGGAUGUUGGCUUAGAAGCAGCCAUCAUUUAAAGAGUGCGUAAUAGCUCACUAGUCGAGUGACACUGCGCCGAAAAUGUACCGGGGCUAAACAUAUUACCGAAGCUGUGGAUUGUCCUUUGGACAAUGGUAGGAGAGCGUUCUAAGGGCGUCGAAGCAUGAUCGCAAGGACAUGUGGAGCGCUUAGAAGUGAGAAUGCCGGUGUGAGUAGCGAAAGACGGGUGAGAAUCCCGUCCACCGAUUGACUAAGGUUUCCAGAGGAAGGCUCGUCCGCUCUGGGUUAGUCGGGUCCUAAGCUGAGGCCGACAGGCGUAGGCGAUGGAUAACAGGUUGAUAUUCCUGUACCACCUAGUAUCGUUUUAAUCGAUGGGGGGACGCAGUAGGAUAGGCGAAGCGUGCUGUUGGAGUGCACGUCCAAGCAGUAAGGCUGAGUGUUAGGCAAAUCCGGCACUCAUAAGGCUGAGCUGUGAUGGGGAGAGGAAAUUGUUUCCUCGAGUCGCUGAUUUCACACUGCCGAGAAAAGCCUCUAGAUAGAUAACAGGUGCCCGUACCGCAAACCGACACAGGUAGUCAAGAUGAGAAUUCUAAGGUGAGCGAGCGAACUCUCGUUAAGGAACUCGGCAAAAUGACCCCGUAACUUCGGGAGAAGGGGUGCUCUUUAGGGUUCACGCCCAGAAGAGCCGCAGUGAAUAGGCCCAAGCGACUGUUUAUCAAAAACACAGGUCUCUGCUAAACCGUAAGGUGAUGUAUAGGGGCUGACGCCUGCCCGGUGCUGGAAGGUUAAGAGGAGUGGUUAGCUUCUGCGAAGCUACGAAUCGAAGCCCCAGUAAACGGCGGCCGUAACUAUAACGGUCCUAAGGUAGCGAAAUUCCUUGUCGGGUAAGUUCCGACCCGCACGAAAGGCGUAACGAUUUGGGCACUGUCUCAACGAG
rnacentral:rRNA from 3 species